rnacentral:rRNA from 1 species
GGGCCCGCACAAGCGGUGGAGUAUGUGGUUCAAUUCGACGCAACGCGAAAAACCUUACCUAGGCUUGACAUGUAGGGAAUGCCUACGAAAGUUGGCAGUGCCCGCAAGGGAGCCCUAACACAGGUGCUGCAUGGCUGUCGUCAGCUCGUGUCGUGAGAUGUUGGGUUAAGUCCCGCAACGAGCGCAACCCACGUCCUUAGUUGCGACCACGUAAUGGUGAGCACUCUAAGGAGACCGCCGGUGUUAAACCGGAGGAAGGUGUGGAUGACGUCAAGUCCUCAUGGCCUUUAUGCCUAGGGCUACACACGUACUACAAUGGAUGUUACAAAGGGUCGCCAACCCGCGAGGGGGAGCUAAUCCCAUAAAAGCAUCCCAAGUUCAGAUUGGAGUCUGCAACCCGACUCCAUGAAGGCGGAAUCGCUAGUAAACGCAGAUCAGAAUGCUGCGUUGAAUACGUUCCCGGGCCUU